CAGAAAGAAGAAGAUUCAUCAGUAAAUACUGAGCUCAUGAACAGAAGAAACAGCUACAUCUGAUUUGUUUACCUGAAUAGAAAUAAUCAUUUAGACCAAUCAGUGACAUGGGACACACCCUGACCAGGUGUUUCUGGAAGAGCAUAUGUAGAUAAUCAGGAAACAGCUGCAUGUUUUCAUCACUUACUGCAUGUAUGUGGACUGUGUGGAUGCAGAGGACAAAACUUUAAACACGGCUGAGAGGAACUCAUUCAGGUUUUACCCCAAAAAUGAACAACACAAACCAGACGUUUCCAGACAACAUAUCUGAGCCUUUCAUCUCCCACUGCUGGACUGAGAGUGAAGAUUAUCUCUUCACACUGAUCAUCGUUUCCAUCUUCCUUCCUUUGACCGUCUUGGCCUUAUGUGCUCUUUUAUCACAGCUGCGAAAUGAACAUGCUGCUCCGGUCUACGUCAUCAACCUCGUCUUUGCUGACAUCCUACAGAUGUGCUGCAUGAUCAUUAAGCUGGCAGGGGUCAAGGACGAAUUAAUAAAGUUUAUAUUUUACUACUACGUCUACAACUGUGCUGUGAUGGUCAGUGUUUUCUCCAUGGUCUGCAUUGCCCUGGAAAGGUUACCGUCUAUUCUACACCCCCCUAAUUUAUUAGUAGAUAGCUCUGAUGGUCUUCACAGACUGGUUUUGAGUAUCUGUCUUGUGUUACAGAUAUCUGCUCAUCGUCUGGCUGAUCUGGUACCGUCUGAAACAAACCACCAAGGUCUAUGUGGGUGUCUGUGCUUUAAUCUGGAUCAUUUCUGUUUUUAUUGGAUUUAUUCAUCAAGAAUAUUUGGGUGCUUUUCUCCUCUUUCCCUUUCCCCUGCUCAUCUUCUUCCUAGUUGGGACCAUUAGAGCCCUGUCUGCUGUCCAGGGUGUUUCCAUCAAUGAAAAACGGAGAAUUGUGGCAAUUUUGCUUGUGGUUGUGUUAACGUACACAGUUCUUGUCCUGCCUCGGUUUGUUUUGCCAUUGUUGCAAUUUUUGGCUAGUUCAGUUGGCAUUGACUGGAGCAUUUUUUUAAACUUUUAUGACGUGGCUUGCAUUCUAAUUCAGUUGCAACCUCUUACUAACUUAGUUUUAUAUUUUUUAUUUAAUAAAUGGACCAUAGGAAGGUUUUUGGUCUGUCUGACCUGUUGCAGAAAUAACAAUGAUGAUGCCACCAGAUCAACAGCCUGAAUGAUGAAAACAUGAAAACAAUCAGCCUAAAAUACGCUGACAAAGGAGAGAAAAUGGACAUUCACAUAGACAGAAGACAGAUUUUCUAUUUUAUCAAAGAAUCUGGGAAAACUGACAAAAACUUCAACACAUUUGGAUUCUGCAAAAAGGCUACAAAGACUUUAUUUUCUGUACAAACUAAAGACUUUUAAUGUAGAAAAGACACUGAUAGUUUUAUUUUACAAAUCUUUUAUGGAGUCUGUUUUAAUGUUCUGUAUUAUUGGCUGGUUUGCAGAAUAAAAACCGUCGGAUAUCAUCAGAGUAGAAGUAAGAUAACUGGCUCACAGCAGCUCUCUAUCAGAUAUUUAUAAUCAACACGUGUCACGGAAGGUGCAACCAAUCCUGGCCAGCUCUGGUCACCCAGAAGAAUUUGUUCUCCCUUCAGGUCGUCAGCAUCGUUGCAAACAACCCAGCCACCUGCCUGACCAACAUGUGACGUGGUUUGGUCACAUGACUCUAGGUGUGAAUGGUUUCUAAACGGCCUGGGAAGGUGAGUCAAGACUGCACUGCAGGUGUUUGACAGAUGAAACCUGAGGCCCCCUCCUCUAUCUAAUGUUGGUUUUCCCAUUUAACAUCGAUGACUUCUUCCCCUGUCCAAUAUAUGCACCUUACUUUCCUUUAAAAGAGUGUUGCUUGUCCUUAAGAUGCAGGUGGACUGUUGAAACUUGACCUGAAGAGCUGCUCUUUGUAGCACCGCACACCUGUAAAGUGGUUGUUUGGUUUCUAUGUAGAGGUCUGUGCUCUGGUGGACCAGUUUCUGCCUCCGUGUGUUGCUAGGUUUGAAAUGCACAGGAAUGUUGUGUUUAGAGAAGAUCAGUCCUCAAAGGCCGCUGUCCUGCAGGUUCUGGAGGUUUCUUGCUGCACCUGAAUCGGAUUAAUAGGUCAUCAUGCUGGCAGAGAACUUAACAAGCUGUUGAGGAGAACCAUUUAAUUUGAAUCAGGUGUGCUGGAGCAGGAAUCGUCUGACACACCAGAGCUGGACACCCCGGUUUUUCAGCCACUCCAGACAUGUGUGGAAUGACAACGUUUGUGCAUCAUUUCUUCUAUUCUUCAUUAUUUGGGGCUCAGUUUUUCUCUGACUUGAUAAAAGCCCAGCUCAGACACGCAGGGUUGAAGCUCUGUCUCGACAUGCUUGUGCAGCUUUUCUUUCCUUCUGUCCUGGUGGGACAUUUUCAGCCCGAUGCUGCAGAGUCCUGAGGACGGCCAGUCUGUGUUCCAGUGGGUGGUGUGAGUCAGAGAGCAAGAACUGGUCUGUGUGUGAUGGUUUCCAGUACACUGCUGGGUUGGUAACAAAACCUACCCGACUCCCACACGUCCCUCAUGUUUUUCAUUAGGUGCUUUUCCAUUACCCCUAGAACUGCACAAAACCUAAAUAUCGCAAUAAAAACUGAUAAUGGAAACACCAACAUUUCGAAAAACCUCUCAAAUAUUGCUAAAAUGUUUUUAUGCUGUCAUGAGGUGACUUUUCAGAUGUGUCAAUAUAGGAGUAUAUCGCAAAGUGUAAUGGAAACACUUUUUUUCAUUUACACGUCCCCGGACAUGACGUAAGGGGCACGGCAUGAGGAGCUGCAAGAGGAGACAGAAAUCUUUUCACAAACAAUUAAAGAAAAUAUCGCUGCCAUCCUUCAUAGCAAACAACAGCGAAAUGCAAGAAUUUUUAACCAAAAAUUAGAAAUCUCCUUCCUCCUCAAAGCUGAGAGAACAACAACUAAUGCACUAAACACCAUUCAAUGGAAGCGCCUGCAAAUCGCUGUUGUUGAAAUUUUAGAAAUAUUUCUUUUAUUUAGCAAAAUACUGUAAUGGAAACGCAGCUACUGAAUACCAGUAAGAUUCAGAGUUAAUUUCCAAAUGUUACGACUCCAGUAGAAGGUGAUGCAUUAAAUAGAAGCUGCUUAUACAUCAGAGCUUCAGGUGGUCGACCUCCAUGAUGCCAGAUCUGAGCAACUGCCAGACUUUUUCAACAUUUUGGUCCUAUUUAUGAAGCAUUUAAAACUCUGUUUUUAACAUAUUGAUUUAUGUUUUUAAAAAGAAGUUUCAGUUGUAAAUUUUUUGUUUUAUUAUUAGUGAUAUAAUUAAAAUGGAGUGUUUUGCUCUAGAUUUUUUCUCUUAGACACGUGGAUAUAAUCAUCAAUCUCUGUAAAAAACUUGGAUUUCUUGCAGGAAAACACUAGCAGUGUUCUUAAAAUGUACAUGUUCAUUGUAUAAUCUGUGUAUUUAUCAACUUUAAAUUGUAAUUUGAAAAGUGUUUGU